rnacentral:lncRNA from 1 species
AACAAAAGCAUACAAUCCUUGAGAAUCACUUUUCACAGUGGCUUCAAUCCACACAUCUAUCUUUUAGAGCACCAAUAUAUUCUGAGUUUCUAAGUAUACAACCUCUAGAAAAAUUUAUAUUGUGAGCUUUCUUUUUCUUUUUGUCUCCCUCUUUUUGAUCGUGAAGAAGGCCCCUAGAGUCUCUCUCUCUUUCUCUUCUUUUUUAUCUCUCUCUCGUGUAUUGCACAUCCCAAGG